CACCAGACUCCUACGGGAGGCAGCAGUGAGGAAUAUUGGUCAAUGGGCGCGAGCCUGAACCAGCCAAGUCGCGUGAGGGAAGACGGUCCUAUGGAUUGUAAACCUCUUUUGUCGGGGAGCAAAAGACGCCACGUGUGGCGUUCCGAGAGUACCCGAAGAAAAAGCAUCGGCUAACUCCGUGCCAGCAGCCGCGGUAAUACGGAGGAUGCGAGCGUUAUCCGGAUUUAUUGGGUUUAAAGGGUGCGUAGGCGGACUGUUAGGUCAGGGGUAAAAGCCGGGGGCCCAACCCCGGCGAGCCGUUGAAACUGGCUGUCUUGAGAUGUCGAGAGGUAUGCGGAAUGCGCAGUGUAGCGGUGAAAUGCUUAGAUAUUGCGCAGAACUCCGAUUGCGAAGGCAGCAUACCGGCGGCGACCUGACGCUGAGGCACGAAAGCGUGGGUAUCGAACAGGAUUAGAUACCCUCGUAC
rnacentral:rRNA from 1 species